rnacentral:rRNA from 1 species
UACGUAGGGUGCGAGCGUUAAUCGGAAUUACUGGGCGUAAAGCGUGCGUAGACGGUCAUGUAAGUCGGAUGUGAAAGCCCCGGGCUCAACCUGGGAAUUGCAUUCGAGACUGCAAGGCUAGGGUGCGGAAGAGGGAAGCGGAAUUUCCGGUGUAGCGGUGAAAUGCGUAGAUAUCGGAAGGAACACCAGUGGCGAAAGCGGCUUCCUGGUCCGACACCGACGUUCAGGCACGAAAGCGUGGGGAGCAAACAGG